rnacentral:rRNA from 1 species
GACGUAGGGCGCGAGCGUUGUCCGGAUUUAUUGGGCGUAAAGAGCGCGUAGGCGGCUUGUCGCGUCGACUGUGAAAACCCGUGGCUCAACCAUGUGGUCUGCAGUCGAUACGGGCAGGCUAGAAUUCGGUAGGGGAGACUGGAAUUCCUGGUGUAGCGGUGAAAUGCGCAGAUAUCAGGAGGAACACCGGUGGCGAAGGCGGGUCUCUGGGCCGAUAUUGACGCUGAGGAGCGAAAGCGUGGGGAGCGAACAGG